UACGGAGGGUGCGAGCGUUGUCCGGAAUUAUUGGGCGUAAAGCGCGCGCAGACGGUCCUUUAAGUCUGAUGUGAAAGCCCACGGCUCAACCGUGGAGGGUCAUUGGAAACUGGAGGACUUGAGUACAGAAGAGGAAAGUGGAAUUCCACGUGUAGCGGUGAAAUGCGUAGAGAUGUGGAGGAACACCAGUGGCGAAGGCGACUUUCUGGUCUGUAACUGACGUUGAGGCGCGAAAGCGUGGGGAGCAAACAGG
rnacentral:rRNA from 1 species